rnacentral:rRNA from 1 species
ACGAACGCUGGCGGCGUGCUUAACACAUGCAAGUCGAACGGAAAGGCCCCUUUGGGGUUACUCGAUUGGCGAACGGGUGAUUAACACGUGAUUAACUUGCCUUUGAUUUCGGGUUAAUUUCAGGAAACUGGGGCUAUUCCCGGUUAGGAAUCUUUCUUCCUGGUUGGGGUUUGGAAAGUUUCGGCGGUUUUGGAUGGACUCGCGGCUUAUCAGCUUGUUGGUGGGGUAGUGGCUUACCAAGGCUUUGACGGGUAGCCGGCCUGAGAGGGCGACCGGCCACAUUGGGACUGUGAUACGGCCCAGACUCCUACGGGAGGCAGCAGUGGGGAAUAUUGCACAAUGGGCGGAAGCCUGAUGCAGCAACGCCGCGUGCGGGAUGACGGCCUUCGGGUUGUAAACCGCUUUCAGCAGGGGCGAAGCUUGUGGUGACGGUACCUGCAGAAGAAGCACCGGCUAACUACGUG